GACUCUGGUUACUGAAGCUUCCAGAAGUGAAGCGGCCAAAUGAUAGGAGCGGCGCCAGUGGUAGCGCAAACUCCCGCGCACCUCGCUGGCAAGCAUUCCUUGAGGACACGCCACUCACCGCAGUGCAGUUUUCAGUGACAGCCGUGGCACGCCUGGCCAGCAGGAACUGCUCUCAGUUGUUUGGCUCCCCAAAAGGAAGACAUGUUUAUAACAUCGGGAUAUCCCUGAAAUAUUGCAUCAAUCUUUUGUUCUGCACUACCUUUGGUACAUUAUCUUUGACAGACAACACUUCAGAGAAAGA